UACGUAGGGGGCAAGCGUUGUCCGGAUUUAUUGGGCGUAAAGAGCGUGUAGGCGGCCAGGUAGGUCCGUUGUGAAAACUCGAGGCUCAACCUCGAGACGUCGAUGGAAACCAUCUGGCUAGAGUCCGGAAGAGGAGAGUGGAAUUCCUGGUGUAGCGGUGAAAUGCGCAGAUAUCAGGAAGAACACCCGUGGCGAAGGCGGCUCUCUGGGACGGUACUGACGCUGAGGAGCGAAAGCGUGGGGAGCGAACAGG
rnacentral:rRNA from 1 species